rnacentral:lncRNA from 1 species
GUAUAAUACACUGUGAGAAGGAGUUUCUCAAACUUCUCAAAAAAUAUCCUGGAGGCUCAAGUUCUAAUUCGUGAUUCUAAAUCAAAUUUAUUUACGGAAAGACUUAUAUACUCAUCAAGAUUUUGUGCCAUAUCUAAUUUUCCAAAUCCAAUUGAUACUUCCUAGAGGAUAUUGGAUAUCUUUGAAAAGAUUUUUAAACUCUUGAUAAUUGAUAUUGACUACCUACAGGCUUUUCAUAGUGAACGUGAGAUUAAACAAAGCUAUAUCCAAAUCAUGCAAGUCUGAGUGCAAAUAUUAAAAGUUAAUAUGCUUCCGGGUAUCAUAACAAAUUUCCAUAAGAGGCCAGUCCAUGAAAAAUUCUUGAAACCCUCAAAUCUGAAUGAACAAUUCCUCCUUCAUUCAAGGAUCUUCUUAUCACUGGAAUGAAAUAUACAUGUGAGUUGAAUAUCAAGAGUUAAGAACAAGGAGUAACAUUUGUCUCUUUAUUACACCCUCGAUGGACGACUGUAAGGCUAAAUCUAUCCCAUAAGCAGUUAAUUUGAAGAAAAAAGGAAGAAUGUUGGUUUCGGAAGCUUCAUGGUCUUCCUGGGAGCACUUUUUGAGUCCUCAAACACGGAUGAACGCUUUUAUUUACCGCCUUGACGUCAUAUAUGCCUGGUAUGGUUAAAAAAAGGAUGACUCACCUAACUUGUCUCUAAGUAUCUUGCUCUCGAUUAAAGCCUUUAUCCAAUUAGCGAAACGAGGACGAAAAUAAUAAACAGCUGAAAAAUUUCUUGGUCAGAAUUGACUUGUUUGUCAACCAGAAGUAGUAUUUUAUUAUUAUUUCUAAUGAUUCUAUAAUAGAAAGAGUCUUUUUUUCUUUCUCUAAUUUUGAUUCGUCUAAAAGCUAUAUUUGUACGAAAAUGAUACUUCUGCAUGUUUUAUUGUACAAAUGCGCUCUUACUGAUACUGAAGCUGAAAUUUUGCCUACUAAUAGGGUGAAAGAUGGGCCGAGGAUAUUACAAAAACCCCAAUAAAGAAAAAAACUGUCAAAAUAAGGGACCUCAGAAAAAGAAUAAGUGGGGAAGACGUCUAGGAGAAAA